rnacentral:rRNA from 1 species
AUUGAACGCUGGCGGCAUGCCUUACACAUGCAAGUCGAACGGCAGCACGGGUGCUUGCACCUGGUGGCGAGUGGCGAACGGGUGAGUAAUACAUCGGAACAUGUCCUGUAGUGGGGGAUAGCCCGGCGAAAGCCGGAUUAAUACCGCAUACGAUCUACGGAUGAAAGCGGGGGACCUUCGGGCCUCGCGCUAUAGGGUUGGCCGAUGGCUGAUUAGCUAGUUGGUGGGGUAAAGGCCUACCAAGGCGACGAUCAGUAGCUGGUCUGAGCGGACGACCAGCCACACUGGGACUGAGACACGGCACAGACUCCUACGGGAGGCAGCAGUGGGGAAUUUUGGACGAUGGGCGAAAGCCUGAUCCAGCAAUGCCGCGUGUGUGAAGAAGGCCUUCGGGUUGUAGAGCACUUUUGUCCGGAAAGAAAUCCUUGGCCCUAAUACGGUCGGGGGAUGACGGUACCGGAAGAAUAAGCACCGGCUAACUACGUG